ACAGGAGCACAGCCUGAGAGAGGUUUUACCAGUCUCUUAUCGGGACAGAACACAGCCCACUCACCAUGCAGUUUGGGCUCAGCUGGGUUGUCCUUGUUGCAAUUUUAAAAGGUGUCCAAUGUGAAGUGCAGCUGGUGGAGUCUGGAGGUGGCUUAGUGAAGCCUGGGGGAUCUCUGAAACUGUCCUGCGCUGCCUCUGGAUUCACCUUCAGUAGCUAUGAUAUGAGCUGGGUCCGCCAGGCUCCAGGGAAAGGGCUGGAGUGGGUCUCAGACAUUAGUAGUGGUGGUGGUAGCACAUACUACGCCAGCUCUGUGAAGGGCAGAUUCACCAUCUCCAGAGACAAUGGCAAGAACGAGCUCUACCUGCAAAUGAACAGCCUGAGAGCUGAGGACACGGCCGUGUAUUACUGUACCACAGACACAAUGAGGGGAAGUCAGUGUGAGCCCAGACAAAAACCUCCUUGA